rnacentral:rRNA from 2 species
UGCAAGUCGAACGAGAAGCUAACUUCUGAUUCCUUCGGGAUGAUGAGGUUAGCAGAAAGUGGCGAACGGGUGAGUAACGCGUGGGUAAUCUACCCUGUUAAGUGGGGGAUAACCCUCCGAGAGGAGGGCUAAUACCGCAUAAUAUCUUCUCCUCUGAAAGAGGUAAAGAUUAAAGAUGGCCUCUAUAUUAUGCUAUCACUUCAGGAUGAGCCCGCGUCCUAUUAGUUAGUUGGUGGGGUAAUGGCCUACCAAGGCGACAAUGGGUAGCCGGUCUGAGAGGAUGUACGGCCACACUGGGACUGAGAUACGGCCCAGACUCCUACGGGAGGCAGCAGUGGGGAAUAUUGCGCAAUGGGGGAAACCCUGACGCAGCGACGCCGCGUGGAUGAUGAAGGCCCUUGGGUUGUAAAAUCCUGUUCUGGGGGAAGAAAGCUUAAAGGUCCAAUAAACCCUUAAGCCUGACGGUACCCCAAGAGAAAGCUCCGGCUAAUUAUGUGCCAGCAGCCGCGGUAAUACAUAAGGAGCAAGCGUUAUCCGGAAUUAUUGGGCGUAAAGAGCUCGUAGGCGGUCUUAAAAGUCAGUUGUGAAAUUAUCAGGCUCAACCUGAUAAGGUCA